rnacentral:rRNA from 1 species
GAACGGUCCUUCGGGACAGUGGCAGACGGGUGAGUAACGCGUGGGAAUCUACCCAUCUCUACGGAACAACAGUUGGAAACGACUGCUAAUACCGUAUACGCCCUUUGGGGGAAAGAUUUAUCGGAGAUGGAUGAGCCCGCGUUGGAUUAGCUAGUUGGUGGGGUAAAGGCCUACCAAGGCGACGAUCCAUAGCUGGUCUGAGAGGAUGAUCAGCCACAUUGGGACUGAGACACGGCCCAAACUCCUACGGGAGGCAGCAGUGGGGAAUAUUGGACAAUGGGCGCAAGCCUGAUCCAGCCAUGCCGCGUGAGUGAUGAAGGCCUUAGGGUUGUAAAGCUCUUUCACCGGUGAAGAUAAUGACGGUAACCGGAGAAGAAGCCCCGGCUAACUUCGUGCCAGCAGCCGCGGUAAUACGAAGGGGGCUAGCGUUGUUCGGAAUUACUGGGCGUAAAGCGCACGUAGGCGGACAUUUAAGUCAGGGGUGAAAUCCCAGAGCUCAACUCUGGAACUGCCUUUGAUACUGGGUGUCUUGAGUAUGGAAGAGGUAAGUGGAAUUCCGAGUGUAGAGGUGAAAUUCGUAGAUAUUCGGAGGAACACCAGUGGCGAAGGCGGCUUACUGGUCCAUUACUGACGCUGAGGUGCGAAAG